AGCUUCUUUCUGCCAAGAUGAGCUGCGGUAGUCCUUUUCCUCCCUCCCCUCCUUUCUUUCUUCCCUCGUUUCUUUUCUUUUUCUUCCAUGUCAUUACGGAGAAGGGCACUGGAGGCUUACUGAAGAGCUUUGAGAAAUAGCAUAGAAGGCCCAGAGCAUUACUUGUUUCCAGAUGAUCAAGCUAAGGCUGUACCCUGGCUAUGAAUAGCCCAGCCUCCUGUGGUGUCCAAGCCUGGAGAGAUUCUGUCUCAUUCACUCCUGGUAGACUGGUUAACCCGGCCACAGGCUCCUUUUGCCUUCAGCGCUCCCCAACAGCCGAUGGCUGGCCAGCAUGUCCACCAUCUUCAUGCACAAGGUGUGCUCUACAUUAAAGAUCCUCUAACCAUA